UACGUAGGGUGCGAGCGUUAAUCGGAAUUACUGGGCGUAAAGCGUGCGCAGGCGGUCUGUUAAGACAGAUGUGAAAUCCCCGGGCUUAACCUGGGAACUGCAUUUGUGACUGGCAGGCUAGAGUAUGGCAGAGGGGGGUAGAAUUCCACGUGUAGCAGUGAAAUGCGUAGAGAUGUGGAGGAAUACCGAUGGCGAAGGCAGCCCCCUGGGCCAAUACUGACGCUCAUGCACGAAAGCGUGGGGAGCAA
rnacentral:rRNA from 1 species